UACGUAGGGUCCGAGCGUUGUCCGGAAUUACUGGGCGUAAAGAGCUCGUAGGUGGUUUGUCGCGUUGUCCGUGAAAACUCACAGCUUAACUGUGGGCGUGCGGGCGAUACGGGCAGACUGGAGUACUGCAGGGGAGACUGGAAUUCCUGGUGUAGCGGUGGAAUGCGCAGAUAUCAGGAGGAACACCGGUGGCGAGGGCGGGUCUCUGGGCAGUAACUGACGCUGAGGAGCGAAAGCGUGGGGAGCGAACAGG
rnacentral:rRNA from 1 species